UAUGAUCUCUGCUGAAUAAAGUGCUUCAUUCUUUUUUUCUGAGGAAAUCCAAAUCUCAAAUCCUCAACCACAUCACAUCUUUUUUUGGGGUGAAUUAUGUCUUAUUCCUCUCAUCGCGAAGCAAACAGUAAAAAUAAUAAAAAAACUUGAAGAACAAUCUCGCUGCGUUGUCUUCUGUUGUGUGGGCGUAUUCAAAAGCCGCGCGCUUCAGUGAAACAUUUGAAUCUCAAAAGCGCGCUCGGCGCGGGGGCGUGGUCGCAUUAGAAGAUAAUGAAGGGAGACGUGAAAAACGGACAUCGCGUUGUUUUCAUAUGGAUUACUUUAUCACAGAAUAUUUGUUUUCAGCAGCACUUGUUUAGUUUAAAAGUAGACAUGUCAGGCUUUCUAUAGAUAUCUCUCUCAUGUCUCUUCGUUGAGUAUUCACUGGGUUACAGUUCAUUUUAAUGACGCAUUUGUAUCUGAAGAUCAGCGCAGACAAAGGCUGCAGACAGCACUCCUUGUUUGUUAUCUUUAUUUUAUAAGUGCACAAAGUUUUGUUGUUAUUAUGUCUGUAUACAAAAAAAAUAGACCCUUUACAGAUUCGAUUGAUGUAUUGCACUUAUCUGUACGAUCAAAACUGAAAGUGUAAUUUAAGUUCUUUUCGGGGUUAUCAGGAGAAAAUACCCCAAAACGCGUAUACGCGUUAAUCGACUCCAGAGGGUUAAGGAGCGAUCAUGAGUGGCAGCUCGGCAUGCUGCACAACUCCUUGUUCAAGCUCUUGUUCUGUCCAGGCUGGACUAUUGCAACGCUCUCUUGGCAGGUCUUCCAGCCAGUUCUAUCAAACCUUUACAAUUAAUCCAAAACGCGGCAGCAAGAUAAAUUUUUAAUGAGACGAAAAUAAUACACGUCACACCUCUGUUUAUCAAUUUGCACUGGCUACCAAUAGCUGCUCGCAUAAAAUUCAAGGCAUUGAUGUUUACCUACAAAACCACCACUGGCUCUGCACCCCUUUAACUAAAUUCAUUACUUUAGACUUAUGUGCCCUCUAGAAGCUUGCGUUCUGCAAGUGAAUGUCACUUGAUUGUGCCAUCCCAAAGAAGCACAAAGUCACUUUUAUGGACUUUUAAAUUAAAUGCUCCCUCCUGGUGGAAUGACCUGCCCAACUCAAUCCGAGCAGCUGAGUCCUUAGCCAUCUUCAAGAAUCGACUUAAAACACAUCUAUUCCAUCUUUAUUUGACCCUCUAACUUUAGCACUCUUCUAAUUCUAUUCUUUAAAAAAAAAUCUAACUAGCUUUCUAAUCUUUUUAUAUUCUAUCUGUUUUAUUUUCAUUUGUUAUACAAUUAACAAAAGCAAAAAAAAAAAAAAAGACCUCUAACAUUAGCUUGCUCUAUUCUUUUUGUGUUCUAUUUGUUUUCUUUUUAUGUAUUAUUUUAUUUAAAAGCCCUUGUUACACAUACUACAUUUAAGCUAACUGAGACUUGUUAUAGCACUUGUAUAUCAUUGCUCUUUUGUUGUUUUUGAUUGCUUCCAUUGUCCUCAUUUGUAAGUCGCUUUGGAUAAAAGCGUCUGCUAAAUGACUAAAUGUAGAUGUAAAUA
ensembl:lncRNA